UACGUAGGAGGCAAGCGUUGUCCGGAAUUACUGGGCGUAAAGCGCGUGUAGGUGGUGGGACAAGUCUGCUGUGAAAGCGCCUGGCUUAACCGGGCGAGGUCGGCGGAAACUGUCCGACUCGAGGACGGUAGAGGGUAGUGGAAUUCCCGGUGUAGUGGUGAAAUGCGUAGAUAUCGGGAGGAACACCAGUGGCGAAGGCGACUACCUGGCCUGUUCUUGACGCUGAGGCGCGAAAGCUAGGGGAGCAAACGGG
rnacentral:rRNA from 1 species